UGCGUAGGGGGCUAGCGUUGUCCGGAUUUAUUGGGCGUAAAGAGCGUGUAGGCGGCCAGGUAGGUCUGCUGUGAAAACUCGAGGCUCAACCUCGAGACGUCGGUUGAAACCACCUGGCUAGAGUCCGGAAGAGGAGAGUGGAAUUCCCGGUGUAGCGGUGAAAUGCGCAGAUAUCGGGAAGAACACCAGUGGCGAAGGCGAGUCCCUGGACACUUCCUGACACUGAGGCACGAAAGCUAGGGGAGCAAACAGG
rnacentral:rRNA from 1 species